CUACGGGUGGCUGCAGUGAGGAAUAUUGCACAAUGGGGGGAACCCUGAUGCAGCAACGCCGCGUGGAGGAUGACGCAUUUCGGUGUGUAAACUCCUUUUAUAUGUCAAGAAAAUGACGGUAGCAUAUGAAUAAGCACCGGCUAACUCCGUGCCAGCAGCCGCGGUAAUACGGAGGGUGCAAGCGUUACUCGGAAUCACUGGGCGUAAAGGACGCGUAGGGGGGUUGGAAAGGCAGGUGUGAAAUCCUACAGCUUAACUGUAGAACUGCACUUGAAACUUCUAAUCUAGAGUAUGGGAGGGGGAGAUGGAAUUAGUGGUGUAGGGGGAAAAUCCGUAGAUAUCACUAGGAAUACCUAAAGCGAAGGCGAUCUCCUGGAACAUUACUGACGCUAAGGCGUGAAAGCGUGGGGAGCAAACAGGAUUAGAUCCCUGGUAGUC
rnacentral:rRNA from 1 species